rnacentral:rRNA from 1 species
UACGUAGGGGGCAAGCGUUGUCCGGAAUCAUUGGGCGUAAAGAGCGUGUAGGCGGCUUGGUAAGUCCGCUGUGAAAUCCCCGAGCUCAACUUGGGAAUUGCAGUGGAUACUGGCAAGCUGGAGUAUGGUAGAGGAAGGUGGAAUUCCCGGUGUAGCAGUGAAAUGCGUAGAGAUCGGGAGGAACACCAGUGGCGAAGGCGGCCUUCUGGACCAGUACUGACGCUCAUGCACGAAAGCGUGGGGAGCAAACAGG